rnacentral:rRNA from 1 species
GAUGAACGCUGGCGGCGUGCUUAACACAUGCAAGUCGAACGAUGAAGCCCAGCUUGCUGGGUGUAUUAGUGGCGAACGGGUGAGUAACACGUGAGUACCCUGCCCUUUACUCUGGGAUAAGCCUGGGAAACUGGGUCUAAUACUGGAUAUGACUUCUCAUCGCAUGGUGGGGGGUGGAGAGAUUUAUUGGUAUUGGAUGGACUCGCGGCCUAUCAGCUUGUUGGUGAGGUAGUGGCUCACCAAGGCGACGACGGGUAGCCGGCCUGAGAGGGUGACCGGCCACACUGGGACUGAGACACGGCCCAGACUCCUACGGGAGGCAGCAGUGGGGAAUAUUGCACAAUGGGCGCAAGCCUGAUGCAGCGACGCCGCGUGAGGGAUGACGGCCUUCGGGUUGUAAACCCCUUUCAGUAGGGAAGAAGCGAGAGUGACGGUACCUGCAGAAGAAGCGCCGGCUAACUACGUG